rnacentral:rRNA from 1 species
UAGGGAAUCUUCCGCAAUGGACGCAAGUCUGACGGAGCAACGCCGCGUGAGUGAAGAAGGAUUUCGGUUCGUAAAACUCUGUUGUUAGAGAAGAACAGCGCAUAGAGUAACUGUUAUGCGUGUGACGGUAUCUAACCAGAAAGCCACGGCUAACUACGUGCCAGCAGCCGCGGUAAUACGUAGGUGGCAAGCGUUGUCCGGAUUUAUUGGGCGUAAAGCGAGCGCAGGCGGUCAAUUAAGUUUGAUGUGAAAGCCCCCGGCUCAACCGGGGAGGGUCAUUGGAAACUGGUUGACUUGAGUGCAGAAGAGGAGAGUGGAAUUCCAUGUGUAGCGGUGAAAUGCGUAGAUAUAUGGAGGAACACCAGUGGCGAAGGCGACUCUCUGGUCUGUAACUGACGCUGAGGCUCGAAAGCGUGGGUAGCAAACAGG